GGCACAGAAAUGAAAACAGCUUCCUGCUAGUACUAGUCCCUCACAACUUUAUCAUUCAUUGCUACUUGCCUUCAUCCUGCCAAUAACUCUGAAGAUGACUCCUUCACUGGGUCUUUUUCUAUAAAAACAUUCUGUGUGUGAUAUCUAUUUCCAGUUCUGACUCUAAUAAGUAAAGUUCUUUGGAACUCUUCACCUAGCAAGACUAGAAGUCACAAAAAAGAAACCUUCAUCAAUGUUUAUGAGACAUCGCCUAUGGGAAAAAGGAUCUUCAGAGAAAUAAAUAAAUCUAAUAUAUUCCAUCUAAUAAUGAAAAGAUGAAGGGGGAUUAAGAGCCAAUUCUGAAACACCAGAUGAUUAUCUUUAUCUGAUUAACUGAUUAUCUUAGACCAGAACUAAUCUGUAUCAUCGUGGUAUUGUGCAGGGCUGCAGACACAUGAGUUCUCUGGAUGUCCCAUGACAAGUGCUUCCCAAAUUCAUGAACCAUGGUGCUUCAACUUUGACACAAGAAGUCUGAAUAAAACAAAGCCACAAUAUAUUC
rnacentral:lncRNA from 1 species